GGAGAGGUGGCUGAGUGGUCGAAAGCGGCACCCUGCUAAGGUGUUACCCUGAUUAUAUUGGGGUCGAGGGUUCGAAUCCCUCCCUCUCCGCCA
rnacentral:tRNA from 1 species